GAUGAACGCUGGCGGCGUGCCUAAUACAUGCAAGUCGAACGAAACUUCUUUAUCACCGAGUGCUUGCACUCACCGAUAAAGAGUUGAGUGGCGAACGGGUGAGUAACACGUGGGCAACCUGCCCAAAAGAGGGGGAUAACACUUGGAAACAGGUGCUAAUACCGCAUAACCAUAGUUACCGCAUGGUAACUAUGUAAAAGGUGGCUAUACUACCGCUUUUGGAUGGUCCCGCGGCGCAUUAGCUAGUUGGUAGGGUAAAGGCUUACCAAGGCAAUGAUGCGUAGCCGAAUUGAGAGGUUGAUCGGCCACAUUGGGACUGAGACACGGCCCAAACUCCUACGGGAGGCAGCAGUAGGGAAUCUUCCACAAUGGGCGAAAGCCUGAUGGAGCAACGCCGCGUGGGUGAAGAAGGUCUUCGGAUCGUAAAACCCUGUUGUUAGAGAAGAAAGUGCGUGAGAGUAACUGUUCACGUUUCGACGGUAUCUAACCAGAAAGCCACUGCUAACUACGUG
rnacentral:rRNA from 1 species